rnacentral:lncRNA from 1 species
CGCAGGUGCCAGGCGGUGGCAGAUUUACGCAGUCGGAUGCGCUACCAUCCUUCGACCGGGUGAAGAAUAAAUCCGGCCGCACAAAACGUCGUUUUUAUGGGUAUUUACAACCAAGCCACUUUGUGCACUAAGAACUAAUAUUUCCCGGGGGGAUUCCGGCUCUCGAUUCUUGAUAACCGAUUGGAAAUCGGCUGCAGCCCCGGGUCAGAGGCUCCCGGGCGACCGCUGCGGGGCCUGAGUCCCGGCCCCAGGGAUGCGACGGGACAGUCCGGCCGCCCCGGGGUCAGCCUGCAAGCAGCACCGCCGCCCCGGACGCAGGAUGAGGAAACCCGGGCAGAAGGUUCCAGCAGUUCUGGGAAGGGCAGGGGGGCUGACCGGGCCUCCAGCUCCACGACACUGCAGGACCGCCACCUGUCACAGGUGGGAAGGCCCAGGCGACACGGACAUCCGAGCCGUCAGAGAAGCACUUUGGCGCGGGUCAGCAGGGGGUGCAGGGCUCCUGUCUCCGUGCCCGGCCACCCUCACCCCUGCCCACCGUCCCCCGACCUGAAACUCCCCUCCCGUUCAAACGCAGAGGGGACAGGAGGUGAGGAGCUCGUGGCCCCUGGGGCCGCCACACGUCACAGGACGGGAAGGACCCAGGGAGGAGCUGCGACCCCAAGAGGCCGCCCAUACCCCCAGCCACCGGUCACCUGUGUAGGGACAGGUCGGGGCCCCGCAGCUCUGGGGCGUCCCCAGCGGCCUGGCUGCUCCCCUGAUGGCAGGGAGGACCAUAGCUGCCACCCGUGGCCCCAGGGUCUGGGGAGGGCUGGCAGGUGGUCCCGAGGCCACCGUACCCCGGCAUGUGGGCCCCAGGCACACGCCCGAUUACCUGGUUGGGGUCCCCAGCCUCUCACCUGCUGGAAUCAUGACGCGUCUUAGGAUCGCUGGGCGUCUGGUCCUACUUCUUUGAUUCCCCCAAAUCCGCUGUCACCCAGGCUGUUGUACAAGCCAUGACACAAGGGGUCCCUGAAGUCAG